AUAGGUAGCAGGGGAGACACCAUGAUCAAUCAGGUGGUUUUCCCAGGGCAGGUGACUGUCUCUGAUAUGUACUCCACAGGAGGCCUAUAUUGAGCAGAUUCUUUCUGGUGUUGGGUGGUGGAAUGGGAGCUUGCUCCAUCCACUC
rnacentral:snRNA from 1 species